rnacentral:snRNA from 1 species
AAGAUGGAACAGGCUGUG